GGCGACACUCAUUGUAGCAGAGAGGCAGGACCAACUGGGAGAGGGUCCUUCUGUGACAACUAUUGCAUCACCGGGCUGUGUGAAGUGACUCAGCUGCCAGAACUCACACAAUAUCAUUCUACACCAAACCUCACGGGAAAAAUGCUCCACGACCCUCAGACUUAAACAGCAGCACUGGCUCCUCCCCAGAUCUCCAGCUCCCUGACCCUCAAACUCCAACUCCAACACCAGCUCUGCCCCAGGUCUCCAGCUCCACAAUCCUCAAACUACAACAGCAGCACCAGCUCCCCUGGGGAUCUCCAGCUCAAUGACUCUCAGACUUGGGAGGCAGCUCCAGCUCCCACCAAGCCUCCAGCUCCACAACCUUCAAACUAGAACAGCAGCACCAGCUACUCCCUGGGUCUCCAGCUCCCUCAAAAUUCAACUAUAGCACUGGCUGUUCCCCAGCGCCACCAGCUCCACAACCCUCAACUUACACGGUGGUAGCACCAGCUCCUCCCUAGGUCUCCAGCUACACGACCGUCAAACUUGAACUGCAACACCAGCUCCUCUUCGGCCUCCAGCUCCACAAUCCUCCAACAACAACAGCAACACCGGCUCCUCCCUGAAUCUCCAGCUCAACAACCCUCAGACUUGAGAGGCAGCACCGGCACCUCCCCAAGGCUCCAGCUCCAUGACCCUCAGAUUUGAACAGCGGUAGCACCAGCUCCUGUCCAGGUCUCCAGCUUCAUGAUCCUUAAACUAGAACAGCAGCACCACCACCUCCCUAGGUUUCCAGCUCCACGACCCUAAGACAUGAAUGGCAGGACCGGGUUCCCCGCUAGGGCUCCAGCUCCAAGACCCACAGAUAUAAACGGCAGCACCGGCUCUUCCUGGGAUCUCCAGCUCCACAGCCUUCAAACACGAUCAGCAGCACCAGCUCCCCUCUGGUUCUCCAGCUCCACAAUCCUCAGACAUGAACAGCAGCACAGGCUCCUCCUUGGGUCUCCAGCUUCUCUACCCUCAGACUAGAACAGCAACACUUGUUCCUCCCUGGGUCUCCAGCUCUUACAAGUCUCAGACUUGAAAGGCAGCACUGGCUCCUCAGAAAGUUUCUGGCUCCAAGCUGGUGCUGCUGUCCUAGUUUGAAGGUCAUGGAGCUGGAGACCCGGGGAGGAACCAUUUGAACAGCAGCACUGGCCCCUCCCCGGGUCUCAGGCUCCACGACCCUCAGACUUAAAAAGCCGUAGUACGGGCUUCUCCCUGGGUCUCCAUCUCUACAACCCUCAGACAUGAACAGCAGCAGCACCGCCCCCUCCCCCUGUCUCCAGUUCCACGAACCUCAAACUACAACAGCAGUACCGGCCUCUCCCCAGGUCUCCAGAUCCACGACCCUCAAAAUAGAAUGGCAUCACCGGCUCCUCCCUGGGUCUCCAGCUCCCAAACUCUCAAACUUCAAUUGACACACCGGACCCUCCCCACAGUUAAACAGCAGCACGGGCUGUUCCCCAAAGCUCCAGAUCCACGACCCUCUGACUUAAAGGGCGAUAGCACCAACUCCUCCCUAAGUCUCCAGUUCCACGACCCUCAAACUACACAGCAGCACCGGCUCCUCCUUGGGUCUCCAGCUUCACUACACUCAGACUAGAAUAGCAACACCGGUUCCUCCCUGGAACUCCAGCUCAAUGACUCUCAGACUUGAAAGGCAGCACCAGCUCCUCAAAAAGGUUCUGGCUCCAAGACCCUCGAACUAGAAUAGCAGCAGCUGCUGCAUCUUGGGUCUCCAGCUCCACAACCCUCAAAGUAGAAAAGCAGCCCUGGCUCCUCCCCGAGUCUCCAACUCCUCAAGUCUGAGGGUUGUAGAGCUGGAGACCCGGGGAGGAGUCAGUGCUGCUGUUCUAGUUUGAGGGUCAUGGAUCUGGAGACCCAGGGUGGAGCCGGUGCUGCUGUUCUAGUGUGAGGGUCAUGGAGCUGGAAGACCCCGGGAGGAGCUGCUGCUGCUGUUCUAGUGUGAGGGUCAUGGAGCUGGAAGACCCCGGGAGGAGCUGCUGCUGCUGUCCUAGUUUGAAGGUCAUGGAGCUGGAGACCCCGGAAUGAGCCAUUUGAACAGCAGCACUGGCCCCUCCCCAGGUCUCAGGCUCCACGACCCUCAGACUUAAAAAGCCGUAGUACGGGCUUCUCCCUGGGUCUCCAGCUCUACAACCCUCAGACAUGAACAGCAGCACCGGCUCCUCCCCCUGUCUCCAGUUCCACGAACCUCAAACUACAACAGCAGUACCGGCCUCUCCCCAGGUCUCCAGAUCCAUGACCCUCAAAAUAGAAUGGCAUCAUCAGCUCCUCCCUGGGUCUCCAGCUCCCAAACCCUCAAACUUCAACUAACACAGCAGAUCCUCCCCACAGUUAAACAGCAGCACGGGCUGUUCCCCAAAGCUCCAGAUACACGACCCUCAGUAGCACUGGCUCCUCCCAAGGUCUCCAGUUCCAUGACCCUCAAACUACACAGCAGCACCGGCUCCUCCCCAGGUCUAUAGCUCCACCACCCUCACACUAGACAUCAAGACUACCUCCUUCCCGCUCUCCAGCUACACGACCCUCAAACUUGAACAGCAGCAGCAGCUCCUCCCUAGAUUUCCAGCUCCAUGACCCUAAACCUGCAACAGCAGCACCAGCUCCUCCCUGUACCUCAAGCCCCAUGACCCUCUGACUUGAUCAACAGCAACAGCAGCUCCCUCCCUGGUCUCCAGCUCCACAACCUUCAGCCUUAAACAGCAGCAGCACCAGCUCCUCCCUGGGUCUCCAGCUCCACAACCCUCAGACUAGAACCGCACCCCUCCUCCCUGAGUCUCCAGCUCCAUGACCGUCAAACUACAACAGCAACACAGGUUCCUGUCUGGAUCUCCAGCUCAGCAACUCUCAGAUGAGGCAGCACCGGCAACUCACCAAGGCUCCAGCUCCACAACCCUCAGAUUUGAAUAAUGGUAGCACCAGCUCCUGUCCAGAUCUCCAGCUUCAUGAUCCUUAAACUAGAACAGCAGCACCGCUGCCUCCCUGGGUUUCCAGCUCCACGACCCUAAGACAUGAAUGGCAGAACCGGCUUCCCACAAGGGUUCCAGCUCCAGGACCCACAGAUUUAAAUGGCAGCACUGGCUCUUCCCAGGAUUUCCAGCUCCACUACCCUCAAACUAGAAGAGGAGCACCGGCUCCUCCCUGGGUCUCCAGCUCCCAAACCCUCAGACAUCACCUGACACACUGGAUCCUCCCCACAGUUACAUAGCAGCACGGGCUGUCCCCGAAAACUCGAGAUCCACAACCCUCUGACUUCAAUGGCGGUAGUACUGGUUCCUCCCUAGGUCUCCAGUUCCAUGACCCUCAAACUACACAGCAGCACCAGCUCCUCCCCAGGUCUACAGCUCCACCACCCUCACACUAGACACCAGGACUACCUCCUCCCCGCUCUCCAGCUACACGACCCGCAGAUUUGAACAGCAGCAGCGUCUCCUCCCUGUACCUCAAGCCCCAUAACCCUCAUAUAUGAACAACAGCAAUACCAGCUAAUGCCUAGGGCUCCAGCUCCAGGAUCCACAGAUUUAAACUGCAGCACCAGCUCGUCCAAGGAUCUCCAGCUCCACCACCCUCAGACUAGAACAAGACCUCUACUCCCUGGGUCGCGAGCUUCCGGACCCUCGAACUAUGAAAACAUUGCUCCUCCCUGGGUCCGCAGCUCCACGACCCUCAAACCAGAUCAAGAUCUCUCCUCCCUGUGUCGUCAGCUUCCUGACCCUUGAACUAUGACAACAUUGCUCCUCCCUGGGUCAGCAGCUCCACAACCCUCAAACCAGAUCAAGAUCUCUCCUCCCUGGGUCGCCAGCUUCCUGACCCUCGAACAACAGAAACAUUACUCCUCCCUGGGUCAGCAGCUCCAUGAUCCUCAAACUAGAAUGAGACCUCUCCUCCCUGCGUCGCCAGCUUCUGGACCCUUGAACUAUGAAAAUAUUGCUCCUCCCUGGGUCGGGAGCUCCAUGACCCUCAAACUAGAACAAGACCUCUCCUCCCUAGGUCUGCAGCUUCCAGUCCCUCAAAUAACAACAUUGCUCCUCCCUGGAUCUGCAGCUCCACGACCCUCAGACUAGAACACGAUCUGUCCUCCCUGGGUCACCAGCUUCCGAACCUUCGAACUAAAACAACAUUGCUCCUCCCUGGGUCUGCAGCUCCACGACCCUCAAACUAGAAAAAGACCUCUCCUCACUGUGUCGCCAGCUUCUGGACCCUCGAACUACAAAAACAUUGCUCCUGCCUGGGUCUGCAGCUCCACGACCCUCAAUCCAGAUCAAGAUCUCUCCUCCCUGUGUCAUCAGCUUCCUGACCCUCGAACUAUGACAGCAUUGCUCCUCCCUGGGCGCACCCUCAAACUAGAACAAGACCUCUCCACCCUGCGUCGCCAGUUUCCGGAGCCUCAAACUAAAACAACCUUGCUCCUCCCUGGGUCUGCAGCUCCACAACCCUCAAACUAGAACCAGACCUCUCCUCCCUGUGUUGCCAGCUUCCUGACCCUUGAACUAUGGAAACAUGGCUCCUCCCUAGGUCUGCAGCUCCACGACCCUCAAACUAAAACAAGAUCUCUCCUCCCUGGGUCUGCAGCUCCACGACCCUCAAACUAAAACAAGAUCUCUCCUCCCUGUGUCAUCAGCUUCCAGUCCCUCAAAUAACAACAUUGCUCCUCCCUGGGUCUGCAGCUCCACGACCCUCAAACUAAAACAAGACCUCUCCUCUCUAGGUCUGCAGCUUCCAGUCCCUCAAAUAACAACAUUGCUCCUCCCUGGAUCUGCAGCUCCAUGACUCUCAGACUACAACAAGAUCUCUCCUCCCUGGGUCACCAGCUUCCGGACCCUCGAACUACGAAAACAUUGCUCCUCCCUGGGUCUCCAGCUCCAUGACCCUCAAACUAAAACAAGAUCUCUCCUCCCUGUGUCAUCAGCUUCCAGUCCCUCAAAUAACAACAUUGCUCCUCCCUGGGUCUGCAGCUCCACGACCCUUAAACUAGAACAAGACCUCUCCUCACUGUGUCGCCAGCUUCCGGACCCUUGAACUAUGAAAACAUUGCUCCUCCCUGGGUCCGCAGCUCCACGACCCUCAAACUAAAACAAGAUCUCUCCUCCCUAGGUCUGCAGCUUCCAGUCCCUCAAAUAACAACAUUGCUCCUCCCUGGAUCUGCAGCUCCACGACCCUCAGACUAGAACAAGACCUCUCCUCCCUGAGUCACCAGCUUCCGAACCUUCGAACUAAAACAACAUUGCUCCUCCCUGGGUCCGCAGCUCCAUGACCCUCAAACUAGAACAAGACCUCUCCUCCCUAGGUCUGCAGCUUCCAGUCCCCAAAUAACAACAUUGCUCCUCCCUGGAUCUGCAGCUCCACGACCCUCAGACUAGAACAAGAUCUCUCCUCCCUGGGUCACCAGCUUCCGGACCCUGGAACUACAAAAACAUUGCUCCUCCCUGGGUCUGCAGCUCCACAACCCUCAAACUAAAACAAGAUCUCUCCUCCCUGUGUUGCCAGCUUCCGGACCCUCGAACUAUGACAACAUUGCUCCUCCCUGGGUCUGCAGCUCCACGACCCUCAAAGCAGAUCAAGAUCUCUCCUUCCUGUGUCAUCAGCUUCCUGACCCUUGAACUAUGACAACAUUGCUCCUCCCUGGGUCUGCAGCUCCAUGACUCUCAAACUAGAACAGCAGCACCAGCUCCUUCCUGGACCUCCAGGUCAAUGACUCUCAGACUUCAAAGGCAGCAGCAGCUCCACCCCCAGGCUCCAGCUCUAAAACCCUCAGAUGUGAGCAGUGGCAGCACCAGCUCCUUUCUGCGUCUCCGGCUUCAUGAUCCUUAAAUUAGAACAGCAGCGCCAUCUUCUCCCUGCGUCUCCAGCUCCAGGAACCUCAAACUGCAACAGGAGCACCUGUUCCUCUGGGAUUUUCACCUCCACGACCCUGAGGUGUCAGUGGCAGCACUGGCUCCUCCCCUGGGCUGCAGCUCCAGAACCCUCAAGAAUAAUCCCUUCUCAUGAAAUGUAGCAGUCAGGAAAACUGCAGAGGAAACAGCACCUUGUCUCAUUUGAACAAGACAUCUGGAGCCUGGAGAUCCCAGGGCUGAUAUGGCAACAGUGCGAUGCCCCCCAUGGAUAUGGGGUCGUUCCAUGUUUCUUCCCUGCCUUCCUCAGCAUGUUAACCUUUCAGCUUCACAUCCGCAUCCUCAUGGUCACAAGAUGGCUGACAAGCUCCAGCUCUCCCAUCCCUAGAAAGACUUCAGCUGGCAAAGCAACGCAAAUGGCUGAGCGUCGAGGAUAGAAGUGGCUGAACAGCGAGCAGAGAAGCAACUGAGCAUCGGAGGUUGGAGAUAGAUGCAGCUAACUUCAGAUACUGUGGUUUUAGAGAGGGGCCUGGCCAGAGACGGCUGGGUUCCAGGGACAGACCACCUUCCCAUCCCCUUUCCAGCCUCCCUUUCCACUGAGAGCUGCUCGCUGCUCAAUAAAGUCUUCUACAUUCAUCACCCUUCAAA
rnacentral:lncRNA from 1 species